rnacentral:rRNA from 1 species
GAUGAACGCUGGCGGCGUGCUUAACACAUGCAAGUCGAACGGGAAACAUUUUAAUGAAGCUUCGGCAGAUCUAGCUUGUUUCUAGUGGCGGACGGGUGAGUAACGCGUGGGUAACCUGCCUCACACUGGGGGAUAACAGUCAGAAAUGGCUGCUAAUACCGCAUAAGCGCACAGCAUCGCAUGAUGCAGUGUGAAAAACUCCGGUGGUGUGAGAUGGACCCGCGUUGGAUUAGCUAGUUGGUAAGGUAACGGCUUACCAAGGCGAUGAUGCAUAGCCGAGUUGAGAGACUGAUCGGCCACAAUGGAACUGAGACACGGUCCAU